rnacentral:lncRNA from 1 species
CCGUUAGUGAGUUAUCUUAUUCUUCCUUUUCAAUUUUUUCCUGUGCAGUAAGGACGGGGCUUAUCUACAUACUCUCAGCUCUUAGUGGAAGUUUGGUAGCUGCUCUGUUUCUUCAAGAUAGGCCAUCAGUUUCUUUGUCUAGUGCGUUAUUUGGAUUGCUUGGUGCAAUGCUAUCUGGGCUUAUCCGGAAUUGGAAAUUUUACUCCAAAAAGGCCCUCGAGAUUGUUGUAUUAGGGGCCUUUUGUUUGCUUUCAUCUUCAAUGAGACUGAUAAUUCAUCUUUCAUUUGUUUGCGGUUUGCUAUACUUGUGGCUUUUACCGUGAGCUUGAUGCUAAAUUUCGUCCUAGGCUUGAUGCAGCAAUAUUUCAAACAUAGGAGGCCUUAUUUCUUGGUUUUUUGCUCUUAUUCAAACCUCGACUGGAGAAAAUAUAUCAAAACAAAGACAGUUUAUUCGAAUAUGAUGUCAAGCAUUCUGUCAAACUUAAGCAGAAGUUAGGCAGACCAGUCUUGAGGAGUAUUUCUCUUGUCAUCUUCAGUCUUCUGGAAGUUUGUGUUCUUUACCCAUUAUUAUUUCAUUUCAUUGGCCUUGCAUGAAAUCUCAAACGCGGCAUCUCUUCAUUAUUCAGACUUGCAGGAGUUAUUGUGGCAGUAGUUCAAGGCAUAAAUGUGAACAAAUAUUGUAUCUGGUGCCAAUUUAUUGACUGUGUUCCAUCCAAAUGAUGAAGCUGCGGUAGCAAAAUGACACAUUGUGAGGUAUAGCAGAAAUGAACUUCUCAAAUAAGCAUGCAUCUCGAACAAAAUAAAUUUAAAAGAAAUUGUGGAAAAUAAUUAAAAAAUUCUCCAAAAACAAUGAAUUGGAUGGCACUAAUUCUACUUGUUUGGGUGCAGACAACGGCAAACUCAGAGCAUUUGACAUUGACAUGUUCUGGCAAUGGCAAGUUCAGUGUUUUCUUUCGUCAGUCUCUCACAAAAAAGGAUUCAGGACCUCUGCUAUCUCAUAUGUUCAUAAACGAUUGUAAGUUGUAUAGGAACAAACAUGAGCAAACACAAAUGUACCAUUAAAUGCUUAUACUUUUGUGGCGUAAUGCAUGUUGUAUAGGAUAGGAUUAAAGAAGAUAGGGAACUGUGUCUGCUGUAGCUAUUGUAUACCAAGAAUGCCUUUUCAUCUGAUCAUGGUUCUUUUACAUGUUGUCUUUGGCUCGGAACUCUCAUUCUCUUCUGUCUAAUGAUCCUCUUUUACAUGCCUGGUUUUUUCUUA